GGGAAGAGGGGCAGACAGAACCUGGAGCCUGGGAAGGAAGCACCAUGCCAGCGGGGACAGCAGCUAGAGCCUGGGUGCUGGUUCUUGCUCUAUGGGGUGAGACACUCCCAGCCCCAACUCUCCCCCUCAGCAGCCCUGCUCCCACCCCACCCCCAGUACCUCCCUGCCCCCUAGAAAUCCCCCUGAACCUGGGCACCACUUUCCAAAGACCCUCACCCACCCUGUCCUACACACGCACACCCCAGCCCCACCUCUCCCCUUCCACCCUCCCACAAUGAUGCUAUCACCCAGGAGCUGUAGCUGGUGGUCAGAACAUCACAGCCCGGAUUGGAGAGCCACUUGUGCUAAGCUGUAAGGGGGCCCCUAAGAAGCCGCCCCAGCAGCUAGAAUGGAAACUGAACACAGGAAGAACUGAAGCUUGGAAGGUCCUCUCUCCCCAGGGAGGCCCCUGGGACAGCGUGGCUCGAAUCCUCCCCAAUGGUUCCCUCCUCCUUCCAGCCACUGGAAUUGUCGAUGAGGGGACUUUCCGGUGUCGGGCAACUAACAGGCGAGGGAAGGAGGUCAAGUCCAACUACCGAGUCCGAGUCUACCAGAUUCCUGGGAAGCCAGAAAUUGUGGAUCCUGCCUCUGAACUCACAGCCAGUGUCCCUAAUAAGGUGGGGACAUGUGUGUCUGAGGGAAGCUACCCUGCAGGGACCCUUAGCUGGCACUUAGAUGGGAAACUUCUGAUUCCCGAUGGCAAAGAAACACUCGUGAAGGAAGAGACCAGGAGACACCCUGAGACGGGACUCUUUACACUGCGGUCAGAGCUGACAGUGAUCCCCACCCAAGGAGGAACCCAUCCUACCUUCUCCUGCAGUUUCAGCCUGGGCCUUCCCCGGCGCAGACCCCUGAACACAGCCCCCAUCCAACUCCGAGUCAGGGAGCCUGGGCCUCCAGAGGGCAUUCAGCUGUUGGUUGAGCCUGAAGGUGGAAUAGUCGCUCCUGGUGGGACUGUGACCUUGACCUGUGCCAUCUCUGCCCAGCCCCCUCCUCAGGUCCACUGGAUAAAGGAUGGUGCACCCUUGCCCCUGGCUCCCAGCCCUGUGCUGCUCCUCCCUGAGGUGGGGCACGAGGAUGAGGGCACCUAUAGCUGCGUGGCCACCCACCCUAGCCACGGACCUCAGGAAAGCCCUCCUGUCAGCAUCAGGGUCACAGAAACCGGCGAUGAGGGGCCAGCUGAAGGCUCUGUGGGUGAGUCUGGGCUGGGUACGCUAGCCCUGGCCUUGGGGAUCCUGGGAGGCCUGGGAGUAGUAGCCCUGCUCGUCGGGGCUAUCCUGUGGCGAAAACGACAACCCAGGCGUGAGGAGAGGAAGGCCCCGGAAAGCCAGGAGGAUGAGGAGGAACGUGCAGAGCUGAAUCAGUCAGAGGAAGCGGAGAUGCCAGAGAAUGGUGCCGGGGGACCGUAAGAGCACCCAGAUCGAGCCUGUGUGAUGGCCCUAGAGCAGCUCCCCCACAUUCCAUCCCAAUUCCUCCUUGAGGCACUUCCUUCUCCAACCAGAGCCCACAUGAUCCAUGCUGAGUAAACAUUUGACACGGUGUG